AACAGAUGAAUUCAAUGAAGGCUUAUCAGAGUUUUUUUUUCUAAUUUAUUUUAGACGUACUAGACGACAAGAUAUACGAAAUGGUGACCCCCUUACUCAUUGCUCAGAUUUACAGCAUCAUGAUAAUCCAAGUGGACCUGGGUUUGAAGAGAAAAUUAUCUACGGGGUAGAGAAUAGCAGCACUUUCCUGGAAUGCAGCCCAAAAUCUCAGCGUGCUCUUGUCUACUGGCAGUUCCAGAAACAAAA